CCUACGGGAGGCAGCAGUGAGGAAUAUUGGUCAAUGGACGCAAGUCUGAACCUGCCAUGCCGCGUGCAGGAAGACGGCUCUAUGAGUUGUAAACUGCUUUUGUACGGGGGUAAACGCAGAUACGCGUAUCUGUCUGCAAGUAUCGUACGAAUAAGGAUCGGCUAACUCCGUGCCAGCAGCCGCGGUAAUACGGAGGAUUCAAGCGUUAUCCGGAUUUAUUGGGUGUAAAGGGUGCGUAGGCGGUCGGAUAAGUUAGAGGUGAAAUCCCGAGGCUCAACUUCGGAAUGGCCUCUGAUACUGUUCGGCUAGAGAGUAGUUGCGGUAGGCGGAAUGUAUGGUGUAGCGGUGAAAUGCUUAGAGAUCAUACAGAACACCGAUUGCGAAGGCAGCUUACCAAGCUACGUCUGACGUUGAGGCACGAAAGCGUGGGGAGCAAACAGGAUUAGAUACCCGAGUAGUC
rnacentral:rRNA from 1 species